rnacentral:rRNA from 1 species
AAGGAACUUACCAAGGUUUCCCCUAGUAACUGCGAGUGAAGCGGGAAAAGCUCAAAUUUAAAAUUUGGCGGUUUCCGGCCGUCCGAGUUGUAAUUUAGAGAAGUGUUAUCCGCGCUGGACCGUGUACAAGUCUCCUGGAAUGGAGCGUCAUAGAGGGUGAGAAUCCCGUCUUUGACACGGACUGCCAGGGCUUUGUGAUGCGCUCUCGAAGAGUCGAGUUGUUUGGGAAUGCAGCUCAAAAUGGGUGGUAAAUUCCAUCUAAAGCUAAAUAUUGGCGAGAGACCGAUAGCGAACAAGUACCGUGAGGGAAAGAUGAAAAGAACUUUGGAAAGAGAGUUAAACAGUACGUGAAAUUGCUGAAAGGGAAACGCUUGAAGUCAGUCGCGUUGGCCGGGAAUCAACCUUGCUUUUGCUGGGCGUACUUUCUGGUUGACGGGUCAGCAUCAAUUUUGACCGUUGGAUAAAGGCUGAGGGAAGGUGGCUCCUUCGGGAGUGUUAUAGCCCUUGGUCGCAUACAACGGUUGGGAUUGAGGAACUCAGCACGCCGCAAGGCCGGGUACUUGUACCACGUUCGUGCUUAGGAUGCUGGCAUAAUGGCUUUAAUCGACCCGUCUUGAAACACGGACCAAGGAGUCUAACAUGCCUGCGAGUGUUUGGGUGGAAAACCCGAGCGCGUAAUGAAAGUGAAAGUUGAGAUCCCUGUCGUGGGGAGCAUCGACGCCCGGACCAGACCUUUUGUGACGGAUCCGCGGUAGAGCAUGUAUGUUGGGACCCGAAAGAUGGUGAACUAUGCCUGAAUAGGGUGAAGCCAGAGGAAACUCUGGUGGAGGCUCGUAGCGAUUCUGACGUGCAAAUCGAUCGUCAAAUUUGGGUAUAGGGGCGAAAGACUAAUCGAACCAUCUAGAACUGGUCU